rnacentral:rRNA from 1 species
UACGUAGGGUGCAAGCGUUGUCCGGAUUCAUUGGGCGUAAAGAGCUCGUAGGCGGCUUGGCAAGUCGGGUGUGAAACCUCCAGGCUCAACCUGGAGACGCCACCCGAUACUGCCAUGGCUAGAGUCCGGUAGGGGACCACGGAAUUCCUGGUGUAGCGGUGAAAUGCGCAGAUAUCAGGAGGAACACCAACAGCGAAGGCAGCACUCUGGGCCGGUACUGACGCUGAGGAGCGAAAGCAUGGGGAGCGAACAGG